rnacentral:misc_RNA from 1 species
UCUCCGUUAGUGAACCAGCGGAGGGAUCAUUACAGGACUCGCAAGACUCCUACAACCCUGUGAACUUAACUAUAAGCACGUUGCUUCGGCGGGUGUCUCGGAGGGGGUUCUCCCUCCCCGAGACGCUAAACCCGCCGGCAGCCUACUAUACUCUGUCUCUUUGCGUUGGCAUCUCGAGUACAAUCAAACAAGUUAAAACUUUCAACAACGGAUCUCUUGGUUCUG